GGUACAACCCGACCCGGUCCACACAAAUACAGGCUCAACCGUCGGUCCUUUUAUCUUCUUCCCUGCUUCUGCCUCCUCGUCUUCCAUUUUCUUCCUGCGAUGGAGCUUUCUCUGUCUGUGUAGCUCGCUCCAUUGGAGCGCCCAAUCUCCUUACCAGAAGGCGCUGAUCCGCUUCUUUAGCACAACUAUCAAUAUUCAUCUUCCAUAAGAGCGCCUGAUUCACUGUUCGGAAGGAUCUCGCCACUGGGAGACUCCGAUGUCUCGGUUGUGCCAGUGCUCGAUCAAUGAGUCCGAGAAGGAAGAACUUUCAACAAAGAACAGCUUCAGAAAAUGAUCAAAACUCUGAAAUUCUACAAUCGCUGCAGGCACGCUCUUCAGGUUGAUAUUGGAAGAUUUUUCUGGUAUAAACUGGAGUCGUUUCCCUCAUCAUAUUUGUUUCUGCAGUUGAUGUUUGCCUACUUGAGAUAAAUUCUCCAGGAGAGUAAUGGCCUAUAAAUAAUGGUUGAUUGGUCAACAAUGGAGGUUUCAGUUCACAUCCUAUAGCGGGGGCCUCCAGGAAGGGAUCCAGGUGAAAUUGGAUCUUUUAUUGGUGUCAUCGCUACUUUGGCUAUGCUUUUUUUUUUUUUUAAGCUUUUAAGCUAUAUAGUGUUUAAGCUAGUUAUAGUAUUUAAUUUAAGUAACAUUUAAGCUGAUAAUGUGUUUUGAUAAAUAUACUUUUAAGUUAAUAGUUAAUAGUUAUGUGUUUGGUUUGAAAGAAUUGAUAAAAAGACAAAAAUAGACAUGUUAUUAAAUAAUAUAAAAUUUUAUCAUUAAAUAUUAAUAAAUUAUACAUAAUUAUUAAAAAUUUGUUAAUAUAAUAUUAUUAUACAUAUUAUAUAACAAUAAUAUAUAUUAUUAUUAAUAGAUAUUAUUAUGUGUUAUAUAUAUACAUAUGCACAAACAACAACGGGGAGGAGGGGAGGCAAAGCACGGAUUGCGACCGAUGGGGCGAUGGACGGCUUGCAACUACCGACGGUGGCCUGCGACGAUGGGAGUAGCGAUGGGGGCGAGGGUGGCUUCUGUUGUCGAUGGGGGCAAUUAUCGAUGGGAAGCAACAGGUAGGGGCGACGGCGAUGGCCAACGGUGGUAGCCGAAAGAGCUGAAGAAGAAGGCAGUGGGAGGCAGAGGUAGAAGAUGAAAGAUAUGGCUAGAAAUUAACAAAAAGAUGGGAUAAAAUGUGAAUGGAGAAGAAAAUGGGGGUAACAACGACGGCAAUGGAGGAUUGUGUUUGACGAUGACAAUGGCGAUGGCGAUGGAUGACGACAACGGACAUGGAAGAGGCAAAUGACGAUGAACAUGGAGAUGGCAGUGAUGGAGGCUGGAGGUGACGGUCAAUAGAGAUGAGUCCGGUGGCGAUGACAACAAAGAAGGCAAAGUGAUAAAGAAUAGUAGAGAUUGAAAAUAUGUGUUUUGUUUGAGAACAAAUUUAUCAUUUACUUGGUGAACGAAAUAAACUACCAAGAGCUUAUUUGAAAAACCUGGGGGUAGGAAAAACUUAUCUCAAACAUUGUUAAAAUAGUUUAUAGAUUUGAUAGCAUUUAAGGUCAUAAAUUUUAACAAACAUAUAACUAAAUAAGCUGUGUAACUUAUAAAUUGAAAAUAAAACUUAUAAGCAGUCAAAUCGAUAAGACAAAGACCCUCUCAAUGGUUGAUUGGACAGUACCUAAUUCCAUUUAAUUUCUUUUAGGGAUAAUUACUUCUCAGCUUCUUGUACUGAAAAAACAUAAACCCAUGUACUUUAAAAGUCAGACAAACAAUUUCUUAUACCUUAGACUAAAAUGUAAAAUUAAUGACCUUUAACAGUGCCUAAGAAAUUUAGUAGAGAAAUGAAAAAUGAGUUGGCAUACAAUGUUCCAAAUUUUUUAUGAGAAACACAUAACCACCAUUUGGCUUAAAACAUUUUUUUGUAUCGAAUUAGUUUGUGAAUCUCUUGCAUAGCUAAGUUUAACAAAUCUGUUUAUGUUUUUGCUGUAGUCCAGAUUACGAAGAUGUUAUAUGCAGGUUUUUAAAGUAUAUGGAUGUUAUGUGUUUUCUCCUAAAUAUAGAAGAUUAAACUUAAUUCCCCCUUUUCUUAAGAAUUGAAUGGGAAGAGUGCAACCAACAGCAACAUAAAUGGCUGGUUUGGCUUGGACUCAUUUGAGGGGUGGGAAGAUAAGUUGGCGAUGUCUAUCUUUGCUUAGGGCCUUUGGCUUGAAUUAUGAUGGAGAAAAUUGCUUUAGUUGGUUACUAGGAACGGUUAGUAAUGCUUCUGAGACUUUUACUAGGAUCUGAAUGACUGAAAUAUUUAGCUUACUGUGGUAGAAAUUCUUUUAUUCUUUUGAUGCAUAUCAUAUCAGACCUGUCAAAGAUAAGCAAGUGAGCAAAUAACAGAAAGUUUGAUGCAAGCAUAGAUUUUGUCUCAAAAGUCAUUCAUUUUCUGUAAAUUCGCAGUUAAGGUACUGAAUUUAUUUAUGAU